rnacentral:rRNA from 1 species
GAUGAACGCUAGCGGGAGGCCUAACACAUGCAAGCCGAGCGGUAUUGUUUCUUCGGAAAUGAGAGAGCGGCGUACGGGUGCGUAACACGUGUGCAACCUGCCUUUAUCUGGGGGAUAGCCUUUCGAAAGGAAGAUUAAUACUCCAUAAUAUAUUGAACGGCAUCGUUUAAUAUUGAAAGCUCCGGCGGAUAGAGAUGGGCACGCGCAAGAUUAGCUAGUUGGUGAGGUAACGGCUCACCAAGGCGAUGAUCUUUAGGGGGCCUGAGAGGGUGAUCCCCCACACUGGUACUGAGACACGGACCAGACUCCUACGGGAGGCAGCAGUGAGGAAUAUUGGUCAAUGGGUGCAAGCCUGAACCAGCCAUCCCGCGUGAAGGACGACUGCCCUAUGGGUUGUAAACUUCUUUUGUAUAGGGAUAAACCUACCCUCGAGAGGGUAGCUGAAGGUACUAUACGAAUAAGCACCGGCAACUCCGUG